GUAGUACAGUACUUGGCCUGCGUGAGCCCUAGAUUCUAGUCCCAGCACUUCAAUAAAAAAGAGCCUUUAAGGAAACAGACCUGCAUUCAGAUAAGCUCUUCUGUAUGUGGCAGUGACGUAGAUAUUAACAGAUUAAUGUGACAUAUACUAUGAAACAUUGGCCAUAAAUUGUUUUUUUUAAAAAAAGCUUGUCAUAUGAAGAAUUAUGUUGAAGUAUUUUUCAUAUUUUAUUUUUUAAUUGUACACAAUACCUUUUUUUUGUUGUUGUUUAAGGAUCGAACCCAGGGUCUCGCACAUGCUAGGUGAGUGCUCUACCACUGAGCCACAACCCCAGCCCCAGAAGUAUUUUUUUUCAAUAAUUUUUUUCAAUAAUUUGCCCUUAGUUUAUUUGUGAACCCAAACAUAUAUUGUGUUUGUUUAAAGCAGAGCACACUACCCACUGUUUUCUUUAGUGUUAUAAAAUGUUUAUGAGUACAAGCUACAUGUUUUUAUUUUAAUUAUUUAAAGUCAAGGGUCCCCCCCCCCAUAACAUACUGGGGAUGAAUCCAGGGCCUCACAUGCUAGGCAAGCACUCUACCACUGAGCUGCAUCCCCAGCCCAACAUGAACCUCUUUACAGGAAAAGUGGUAAAAUUGAUCAGAAUGAUGAGCAAUAUUGACACAACUGACCCCCAUAAGAGAGAUUUGGCAACAUCCAAUCAGUGCUUAUUUUUGUCUCAUGUCUUUGUUGGCUUAUACAAGUUCCCUUUUAUGAUUAAAGGAAAAAGGACAUAGAAAUGAGACAAAAAUGAAGCAAUAAGCCCAGGUGCAUUGGUGCAUGCCUGUAAUCCCAGCUACUCAGGAGGCCAAGGCAGGAGGAUUUUAAGUGGGAGGCCAACCUGGUCAACAUGCAAAAUAUAAUCUCAAAAAAAUGAUACAGAAUUUCACUUUGAAUUGAGCUUGUUCUGUAUAACAGAAUCUUUGAGGUUAUCAAUAAAAAUCAGAACUCCUGCCCAACUAGGCCCCAGAGGAAAUGCUUGGCUGUUGAACUGUACCCUUCUGUGCCAGGGUUGCCACUUCCUGGUUCUCAUGAGAUAAAACCCACUCAAACCAAAUCAGAAGCUUCCAUCCAGGAGAGAUCUUCCUUCUAGAAUGCCUGCAUAACUUUCUCUCCAGAUUGAGCCACCUAAGAAGGUCCUAUUUGCAGUUGUUCCUUAGGCAUUGAAUAGAACUAAACCUAGUGCUUUCUGCUUCUUGUCCUCUGGGAUUCACUCUGGCUCCUUUGAGUUUUCCAGAAUCAAAUAUGCCUCUCUAGGAUGUACUCUCAGUCACAAUAUGAUAUUUUAACAACAGAAGGAGAGUAAAAAUGCCCUAAGCCUAUAGGCUUCCCCAAGUUGAAACUUCCCCUUCAUAACUAAUGAUUUUUUCACUCCUGGGAGGGGCUGAUGUCAAUACUGCUUGUAUUGACUUCUUUCAGGUAAUGCAGAAACUUCCUAGCCAGAACUGUCUGUGGUCAGCUCAACAUAGAGCUAUGGCCUAGUCAAGAAACUCUGCCUCCAUAGAGUUUAGCCCCCUGCUCCCAUCCUUUCCAAUUUUUUUGGUUGUUAAUAUCCACAUUUCAACCUACAUGCACAUUAACUGGCCAUUCUUGUUUCCUGUCUACUCGUACACAUGUGUUGCCAAAUGUCAUUGGUGCAAUAGAAAAUCCUGAAAAAAAAAAUUUUGCUCCAUUUAUUCAAGUAGAGCUCCCCAAAUUAUACCUCUUUCCGUAAUACUGUUUACCUUCCAUGAAGUCAACAUCAACAAUUUAUGGAUUCCAUAAGUGCAGCAUAAUUAAGUCUUGAAAUAUCCCACUUUCCCUACAUCCAGUUUGUUAUCUUGAACUUUAGAAGUACAUUAUGGGGAUAUUUAACAGAGUCAUGGGAAUAGAGGAGACUGCAGUGCUUUUGUCCCAUCAGGAUAUCUACUGCCACUCUUAGAAUAGUUGUCUUCUAUCUAAGAGCCCAAAUGAGAAAUUUCAUAAAAGGACCAAUAUUUAGGGUUGAAGGAGCAUUGUGUCCACAAGUGGAGUUAACACACUUCCUCUUAAAUGGUCUACCACAAUGAACUCCCAUUGGAGAGGGAGAUGGAUGGAUGGAGGGAAGGAGGAAGGAAGGGAAGAAAAGGAGGAAGAAUAGAGAAAAGAGUUAUGGAAAUUGCCAAUUGUGAUAACUGAAGUGACUAUCUCUUCAUCUCCUGGGCAGAACCUCAUAUAUCUUCUUCCCAUAUUGACUGUGGACUUCCAUCUUCCAUGCCCAUUGUGGAUGUCACUUAUUCCCAAACCAAGACAGCAGUCAUGUAUGCAGGACAUAUAAUUCAUGUUCUCACACCCUUAGGCUGAUCUCAUAAAGGACAAAUAGUAUGCCAAGUGUCCUUUGUUAAGCUGGUCACCCAGCCAAAGGCUGGUGCCCAUUGAGUGUUUACUACAUGCAAGGUUGUUUUUUCUAGAUUUUUUUAGCAUUUAUCUUCUCAUUAGAACCUCACCAUAAUCUAUGAAGUAGGUUUCUAUUCCCACAUUAUAAGUGAGUGAACUCUAGCUCAGGGUGGUUAUGUUACUUUCCUACAGUUUACUGAUUAAAACCUGGGCCAGAUCCUGCAUGGAUUCCAGAGCCCAUAUGUUCGUUCUUUCUUUUCCAGAGCCCACAUGUUCUUUCUUUUCCUUCCUUCCUUCCUUCCUGUGCUGGGUAUUGAACCCAGGGCUUUGCACAUGCUUGGAAAGUGCUCUACCACUUAGUCACAAUCACAGUCCAGAAAUGAAGAUAUUUUAAUUUCAAAAGAAGAGCUACACAUCCCAGUGCCACAGACCCAGGAGAACAAAUCAGCUCAUGGAUACCUGUGGAGAACUUCAAGUCUUGAUGACAGCAAAAUGGUAGCAACGAUGUACUGAAUGCUAAGUACGUGUUGGCCACUGUACUACACAUUAUUUUAUUUAGUCCUGAGGAAGGUGCUAGUGUUACCCAUGCUUGACAAAGAAGGACAUUGUGGCUCAGAAAAAUAACCUUUUCAAGGUUGUAGCUAGGAAGCAGGGAGGUUGGCUUGGAAUUCAGAUUGUCUGACCUCACAGCCAUUGUUUUGACUACAAGUUAGGUUUCCUCCCAUGAAGGCUAUUCUCCUCACUUCUCAGAUUGACUCCUACCAUAUUAUUUCUAAUUCUGGUUCUCCAAAUACUUGUCCCCUCUUGUGUCUUUAGGGCCUUUCUUUAUGAGGGCCUCUCUCCCUAAUGACUACAAAUUCAGGGCCCCAUGAUAGUCAAUAGAGUUUUCCCAGCUUAUUCUUCACCCUAUACACCUCUGUGGCUGCUUUGAUUCUUUUGUUACAGAAAAAAAAAAUGUACAUGUAGUUUUAGACAUUUUUUGUUUUAAAAUUUUUAUUAGUUAUUGAUGGACUUUUAUUAAUUUAUUUGUUUAUAUAUGGUGCUGAGAAUCGAACCCAGUGCCCCACACAUGCUAGGCAAGCGCUCUGCACUGAACCACAACGCCAGCCCUAGUUUUGGACAUUUGAAAGAAAUGUUUGAGGUGAUAGAUGUGCUAGUUACCCUGAUUUAAAUUAUACAAUAUAUACAUGUAUUGAAACAUCAUGCUGUACCCUGUAAAUAUAUACAACUCUUAUGUGUCAAUUAAAAGUAAAGUGAAACUUUAAAAAGGCAAAAUAAAGGACAAAAGUCAAAUACUACAACUUCAUUGUUUUCCAGAGUCAUACAUCCCAGAGCUGGAAGGGGCCAUAAGAAGUCAUUUAG
rnacentral:lncRNA from 1 species